rnacentral:rRNA from 1 species
UGGGGAAUAUUGGACAAUGGGCGCAAGCCUGAUCCAGCCAUGCCGCGUGUGUGAAGAAGGUCUUCGGAUUGUAAAGCACUUUAAGUUGGGAGGAAGGGCAGUAAGCGAAUACCUUGCUGUUUUGACGUUACCGACAGAAUAAGCACCGGCUAACUCUGUGCCAGCAGCCGCGGUAAUACAGAGGGUGCAAGCGUUAAUCGGAAUUACUGGGCGUAAAGCGCGCGUAGGUGGUUCGUUAAGUUGAAUGUGAAAGCCCCGGGCUCAACCUGGGAACGGCAUCCAAUACUGGCGAGCUAGAGUAGGGCAGAGGGGGGUGGAAUUUCCUGUGUAGCGGUGAAAUGCGUAGAUAUAGGAAGGAACACCAGUGGCGAAGGCGACCACCUGGGCUCAUACUGACACUGAGGUGCGAAAGCGUGGGGAGCAAACAGG